UCUUCCCAAUUGUAUCUUUCAUCCGAUUUAAUUCCAAACAUUUUGAUAUCUUAAAAUUGUUUGAAUUUGAGAGUGUUAAGAGCUUCAAUUUGAUGGUGUUGUAGCUUAGGCAACUAUUAGUCCUUCUUCUAGGUUUUGCUUCGACGACAUUUCGUGUUUGAUGUUGCUGCGAUCGCUGGAUUGGGUGUUCUUAAUGCGUCAUUCAUCUUUCACAUUCUGAAUUGUCUUGUCACGAACAGGAUUUGAAGGAAAAAAAUAAAUGAAGUCUUUAUUUUGUGAUCUAUAAAAUAAACUUCCUUUUUAACAGGUUGUUAUUGUAUCACUGCAAAUGCCUUAAAUUACAUUGAUGGUUUGUGCAGACAAAAGGUACUGGUUUUUCUUCUUUUUCAGUUCAUUGCAGAGCAAUUAUUUGCACACACUCACUGAAUGCUGAUGUUUUUGAAAAGGGUAAAUUUGGAAAUAUCAAAAAUUAUUAUGAAUUUGCUUUCAUUGCAUCAAUGCAUACAUUGUAUUAUGUGUUGAUGUUUCUGAAAAAAGGUCAAUUAUGGAAAUAUGAGAAAUUUAUAUGGAUUUGCUGUCAUUGCACUGAUGCACAGAGUUUAUGUUGUUGAUGUUUUUGAAAAGGGUAAUUUUGGAAAUAUGAGAAAUUAUUAUGAAAUUGCUGUCAUUGCACCAAUGUACACACUGUAUGUUAAUGUUUUUGAAAAGGGUAAUUUUGGAAAUAUAGGAAAAUGUUAUGAAGUUGUUGUCAUUGCACGAAUGCACACACUGUAUGUAGCUGUUGUUGAUAUUUUUGAAAAGGGCAAUUAUGGAAAUAUGAGAAGUUAUCAUGAAAGUGUUGUCAUUGCACCGAUGCACACAUUGUUGAAAGGGUAAUUUGGAAAUAUAGGAAAUUAUUUAUGAAGUUGCUGUCAUUGCACGAAUGCAGACACUGUAUUAUUGUAUGGUGAUGUUUUUGAAAAAGGGCAAUUUUGGAAAUAUGAAAUUAGGUUAUGAAA